AUAAACGCAAGCAAUUCGUAAAAUUUAUAUACUACAUAUAUAUAUAUAUAUAUAUAUAUUACAAGAGAAUUGGCAGACUUCUAGACUGAAUCACUUUUGAACUUCGCGCCACUAGCAGAUUAAAGUUUACCUGAUUUGAAUUCAAAGCACAGGAAUGUAUUACCGCAAUCUAAGAGGCUUUCGUGAAAGCAGAGUAUAAAGGCUCAGUUGGUCAAAAGUGGAAUUUUAGGUGUGACUAAUUACAGAAUUAUAACCGAAAUGCGGAAAGUGAGUGAAAAAUAAUUUCUCUGUGAGUUGAUUCCAAACUAGUUGAAAGUGCAUGCGGCGUAUUUCACGUAAAACUUUAAUCAAUGAAAAUCUGCUUGGAGCACAUGGUCGUCAUAAACGAGGGGUGGCUCAAUUUCUGCCAUCUACUGAAGGGAGACUAAACACGAGAAUUCUAAAGAAAAAAAUCAACUCUGUCGAGUGCCACUUACCGACAAGGGGACCUUCUUUUUGACGAUACGCCGCUUCAAACUCCCCCAUGGCAAGAGGCCACGUUACCGCUCCCGUCAUCGCCGAAGAACCUUCUUCCUUUUUUAACUCCUACAGAAAUGAUUUCCUCUGGCGCAUAUCGACAUCGUCCUACACGAAGAUCAGGCUGUUUUACUUCUUUCUGUCUUUUUCACUACGGCUAGACCAGUUUCUCAUCGAAGAAACCCAUGCAAUCGAACUAUAAUAAUGUCGAUCAGACGAUAGUGAUACAGGGCGGCAACCAAUGGCUUCACAGCCCUCCUGCUAUAAAGAUCUUUCGAUAUGACUAUAAAUGCGAUGCGUUCGAGACUACAUCCUAUGAGUAACGCUUCGCGACCGGCCCAUACGUCCGGUAACGGCAGUUUAUUCGGUGGUCUGCUUGGGGGAUUUCUUCGUGGUGACAAUAUAAUACAAGGUGUCCUAGGGGUGGUUAAAAGACUUUUUUCCAUGUUCGGGCUGGGAAAUCUCCUUGGAGGCGUAUUAGGAAAUUAAGACAACGCUACAUCAUUCAAUACGAUCUUGUUGAAGCUAGGUCAUUGAUUGUUGACCGCCCUCAUUCCAUACAAACUCGAGCAGAUAGUGACCAUGAUCAUCAUUCAGUAGCUGCCACUUCGCACUGAUCCGAAAGGUCAGUUAGUUCUUAUUGUUUCAACGUCUUCAGGCUGGUUGUCGCAAAGGCAUACCCAGACGUCACGA